AAAAAGGAAAAAAAAAAGAAUUUUCAAUUUUCAUUUUGUAAAGAGAAAAAAAAAAUUAAAUUAAAAAAAAGAAAAAAAACCGACAAAAAAUUUAAAUGGCAUUCACUUUUGGAGGUGGUGGCAGCACAUUUGGUGGUGGUGGUGGUAAUUCAGGAGGUAUAUUUGGUAAUAGAAACACCACUAGUACGUUUGGAG
rnacentral:ribozyme from 1 species